rnacentral:rRNA from 1 species
CAGCCGCCCGGUAAUACGAAGGGUGCAAGCGUUAAUCGGAAUUACUGGGCGUAAAGCGCACGCAGGCGGUUUGUUAAGUCAGAUGUGAAAUCCCCGAGCUUAACUUGGGAACUGCAUUUGAAACUGGCAAGCUAGAGUCUUGUAGAGGGGGGUAGAAUUCCAGGUGUAGCGGUGAAAUGCGUAGAGAUCUGGAGGAAUACCGGUGGCGAAGGCGGCCCCCUGGACAAAGACUGACGCUCAGGUGCGAAAGCGUGGGGAGCAAACAGGAUUAGAUACCCGCGUAGUCCCUGUCUCUUAUACA